rnacentral:rRNA from 1 species
AUUGAACGCUGGCGGCAGGCCUAACACAUGCAAGUCGAGCGGAGCGGCGGACGGGUGAGUAAUGCCUAGGAAUCUGCCUGGUAGUGGGGUAUAACGUCCGGAAACGGGCGCUAAUACCGCAUACUCUCCGAGAAGCCUACGCCGGAGUAGCUAGUUUGUGGGGUAAAGGCCUACCAAGGCGAAGAGCCGUAACUGGUCUGAGAGGAUGAUCAGUCACACUGGAACUUAGACACGGUCCAGACUACUCCGGGAGGCAGCAGUGGGGAAUAUUGGACAAUGGGCGAAAGCCUGAGCCAGCCAUGCCGCGUGUGUGAAGAAGGUUUUCGGAUUGUAAAGCACUUUAAGUUGGGAGGCGUUACCAACAGAAUAAGCACCGGCUAACUUCGUGCCAGCAGCCGCGGUAAUUC